UACGUAGGGUGCAAGCGUUAAUCGGAAUUACUGGGCGUAAAGCGUGCGCAGGCGGUUUUGUAAGCCAGGUGUGAAAUCCCCGGGCUCAACCUGGGAAUGGCAUUUGGGACUGCAAGGCUGGAGUGUGGCAGAGGAGACUGGAAUUCCUGGUGUAGCAGUGAAAUGCGUAGAUAUCAGGAGGAAUACCGAUGGCGAAGGCAGGUCUCUGGGCUGACACUGACGCUCAUGCACGAAAGCGUGGGGAGCAAACAGG
rnacentral:rRNA from 1 species